UACGUAGGGGGCAAGCGUUGUCCGGAUUUAUUGGGCGUAAAGAGCGUGUAGGCGGCCAGGUAGGUCCGUUGUGAAAACUCGAGGCUCAACCUCGAGACGUCGGCGGAAACCCUCUGGCUAGAGUCCGGAAGAGGCGAGUGGAAUUCCUGGUGUAGCGGUGGAAUGCGCAGAUAUCAGGAGGAACACCAAUAGCGAAGGCAGCUCGCUGGGACGGUACUGACGCUGAGGCGCGAAAGCGUGGGGGAGCGAACAGG
rnacentral:rRNA from 1 species